rnacentral:rRNA from 1 species
UGCAGUCGAGCGAGCGGAACCACAGAUUUACUUCGGUAAUGACGUUGGGAAAGCGAGCGGCGGAUGGGUGAGUAACACGUGGGGAACCUGCCCCUAAGUCUGGGAUACCAUUUGGAAACAGGUGCUAAUACCGGAUAAUAAAGCGGAUCGCAUGAUCAGCUUUUGAAAGGCGGCGUAAGCUGUCGCUAAGGGAUGGCCCCGCGGUGCAUUAGCUAGUUGGUAAGGUAACGGCUUACCAAGGCGACGAUGCAUAGCCGAGUUGAGAGGCUGAUCGGCCACAUUGGGACUGAGACACGGCCCAAACUCCUACGGGAGGCAGCAGUAGGGAAUCUUCCACAAUGGACGCAAGUCUGAUGGAGCAACGCCGCGUGAGUGAAGAAGGUUUUCGGAUCGUAAAGCUCUGUUGUUGGUGAAGAAGGAUAGAGGUAGUAACUGGCCUUUAUUUGACGGUAAUCAACCAGAAAGUCACGGCUAACUACGUGCCAGCAGCCGCGGUAAUACGUAGGUGGCAAGCGUUGUCCGGAUUUAUUGGGCGUAAAGCGAGCGCAGGCGGAAAAAUAAGUCUAAUGUGAAAGCCCUCGGCUUAACCGAGGAACUGCAUCGGAAACUGUUUUUCUUGAGUGCAGAAGAGGAGAGUGGAACUCCAUGUGUAGCGGUGGAAUGCGUAGAUAUAUGGAAGAACACCAGUGGCGAAGGCGGCUCUCUGGUCUGCAACUGACGCUGAGGCUCGAAAGCAUGGGUAGCGAACAGGAUUAGAUACCCUGGUAGUCCAUGCCGUAAACGAUGAGUGCUAAGUGUUGGGAGGUUUCCGCCUCUCAGUGCUGCAGCUAACGCAUUAAGCACUCCGCCUGGGGAGUACGACCGCAAGGUUGAAACUCAAAGGAAUUGAC